AUGUCUCAUGAUUUUAAUUUUGCUAAAUUUCGUAGACAACCCUAUGAUAAAGAAUUGCCUAGUAAAGAUGAAACUAUUGGUCUUGCUUCUAUUGCCGUGCCUCCUAAUGAUCCUUUAGAACAAUAUUUGGUAGACCAUGAAAAUGAUAUGUUUAUGAAUGAAAGAAGGGAAAUCGAUGAAGUAUUCUGUAAACAGGGACCUAUUUUGAAACACAACUUGCCUGUUCAAAUUUUAGGGGAUCCUCCUCCACCCAAGGGUGAUCCCGUGUUUGAGCUUAAACCAUUACCCAGUACUCUUAAAUAUGCUUAUCUUGAUGAAAAGAAGAUAUAUCCUGUUAUUAUUAGUGCUAGCCAUUCAGAGCAGGAAGAAGAUAAAUUAUUGAAAACUCUCAAGAAGCACCAUGCUGCUAUUGGAUAUACUCUUGAUGAUUUUAAGGGCAUUAGUCCCACUCUAUGCCAGCACAAAAUAAAAUUGGAGAAAGAUGCUAAACCGGUUGUUGAUCACCAACGACGGUUAAAUCCUAAGAUGAAAGAAGUGGUAAGAAAUGAAAUACUGAAGCUUCUGGAGGCAGGUAUAAUUUAUCCAGUUGCUGAUAGUCAGUGGGUAAGUUAUGUCCAUUGUGUCCCCAAGAAGGGAGGUAUUACUGUUGUUCCUAAUGAUAAAGAUGAAUUGAUCCCACAAAGAAUUGUUACAGGUUAUAGAAUGGUAAUUGACUUCCGCAAAUUAAAUAAAGCUACUAGAAAGGAUCAUUACCCUUUACCUUUUAUUGAUCAAAUGCUAGAAAGAUUAUCCAAACAUACACAUUUCUGCUUUCUAGACGGUUAUUCUGGUUUCUCUCAAAUACCUGUGUCAAAAGAGGAUCAGGAAAACACCACUUUUACUUGCCCUUUUGGUACCUUUGCUUAUAGACGUAUGCCUCUUGGUUUAUGUAAUGCACCUGCUACCUUUCAAAGAUGUAUGACUGCUAUGUUCUCUGACUUUUGUGAAAAGAUUGUUGAGGUUUUCAUGGAUGAUUUCUCCGUGUAUGGAACUUCUUUUGAUGCUUGCUUAAGCAACCUUGAUCGAGUUUUGCAGAGAUGUGAAGAAACUAAUCUUGUCUUGAAUUGGGAGAAGUGCCACUUUAUGGUUAAUGAAGGUAUUGCCUUGGGGCAUAAAAUUUCUGAAAGAGGUAUUGAAGUUGAUAAAGCUAAAGUUGAUGCUAUUGAAAAGAUGCCGUGUCCUAAGGACAUUAAAGGUAUUAGGAGUUUCCUUGGUCAUGCUGGUUUUUUAUAG
rnacentral:rRNA from 1 species